GUAAACAGAUAUGUAAUGCUUCAAAUCAGUUGUUAGAAUGAAAACCAACUCAGCAAUCCAAAACAUGUAAAUAAGCUUAACAGAGUAGAGACGCAAAAUAUGUUCCCAUGGGAUUAUUAAGAAGCCAGACUCACCCAGAGAGGGUCCAGGCCACUAAGACUACAGAGGGUGUCCAUCCAGGUUCCUUCUGUUCCUGUAAACUUGUCUUCACUUUCUUUAGUAAAUCCUGCUCUUUGGGCUUAGCAGUGUACCACUCUCUUGUCUACUGUAUAUAGUCACUUGGCACUGUAAGUGUAUUUGACAGCACUCGUGCCUGAAUAUUUCAGCCCUUCAGUAAGUCAGCCUCCCGUCUCUGUACUUUAGUCUGAAACCAGGUUUGUGCAACUGUCCUGUUUAUGAAUGCUGGCCUGCCAGAUGGGUGGAAGAUUUGGACUCUGUAAAACUUUGUUCCCUGCUCUCUUUCGUUGCUCUGUCUCACGUGUGCCGAGGCCACAGUACCACAGACACUCCCCUGGAUGAGAUGAGAGAACUGCAGUCAUGGCAUCACCCCGGCUCUCCUUCAGGUCUUGGUUGCUUCUCCAAACUCCCCCAACCCCACCCAUCCACCAUCACCCUGGUUUUCAAUGGAAAAGGAAGCUAUUUUAUGGCAAGUAUGAUUUGUAUUCCUCAAGGAAUAUGAGAAAACUGCAAAGUAUGGAGAGUGCUAUGAAUCAAAACAUAAAAGUGCACAUUUGGUAAAUGUUGGAUCAUGAUCAAUAAAUCUUUAGUUGACCAUAAAGGAGUAGUUAAGUUUUGAAAUUCAAAUAGUCCAUUGCACAACUGCAUGCAAUCUGUUAUGAUAAGAAUUUGUAGUAUUGCAACAAUUGGUUGUGUGGCAUUGUGGUUAAAACUGUAACCAGAAGGUUGCUGGUAAGGAGCAGGCCAUAAGCUAGUCCCCUAACAUUAGUCCCCAUUACACAAGGCAAUUAACUCUAGGUUGCUCCAGGGUAUCGUACAUGUUAUAAAACAUACUGUAAGCCGCUUAAAAAUGAGCGUGUGCUAAGUGAGUACUUAAUUUAAGGAAUAAUUCACCCAAAAAAUUUUAAUUCUGUCAUCAUGUACUUACCCUCAUUUAGUUCCAGUCACAAUGCUUUCUCUCUUUUGUUGAACUCAAGAUGUUUAGCAGAAUGUUCAGAGACUAUAUUGGAGAGCUUUGCUGGAGAGAAAGAUUAUCAGUGAAUAGUGACUGGAGUUAAACUGCCUAUUAAAGUUUGACUCUGCGCUUAGGUCUCCACCUGAAUAUUUACACUUCCUUUUCACCAUCCAUCCAACCGGCACAUUUUUGGAGGGUUAAAGGGAGAAAUGUGAAACAUAUAAUUUUAUAAAAUAACUAACAAUAAUUCUUCUUUUACAGCUCAUGUAUUAUUUGAGCUAUAAAGAUGUUAAAAUCUUCAAAUUUGCAGUGGACUAUUAAAUUACCAUUUACAGCAUUAUGUCACCUUGGCAACAAAGUUGUAAAAUUGGAUAUAUCUUUACACAGAAAAGAUUUUUUAGCAAUAUUUUCACACUAAAAUCAUGUAAACAAGCCCGUUGACUAAUUAAGUAUUUUCACGAAUUUGCCCCCUUCACUUCCAUUGUAAGUGCCUCACUGGAACUCUGAUUUUUUAUUUUCUUAUUAAGAAAAGAAUGGACAAGUCAAAAUUAAUUUGUGUGAUAAUCAUUAUGCCACAAAUGCUACCGAUUGAGCUUACCUUGAAUUGGUAAUAUUCCAUGCUCAGUCUGAAGGAGCUGACUAUUUCUUUCUUUUCAACAGUUGGCUAAAGGACACAGAGCAUGUCAGAUGACUAUAUGUAUGCCUUGUUUUUGGAUUAUGCUGUUCUAUGUAGUGUACUUGUGAAUUCCAUUGUGUUUUCUCCAGCACCUAGUUGAGAAUGAGAGUGGUUCAGAUGAAGUGAGUCUGUCUAAGGGUUCUGCAGGGGGUCUCAGCAACAGAAAGACAUGUGAACAGCAGCCAACCCCUACCUUGUAAGGUGCAGCAGACCCGUGGAGGGACGUUAUGCCACUUACUAUAACAGACUGCAGCCAGUCAUCACAACAAACACAGGGAUGUUAAUGGCACGUUGGAAAAUAUUUCAUCCUUCAGUAAUGAGAACAGUGGACUUUUGCUCACAAUUUCUUUCUUCAUUAAUGCUUGCCUGUACGGCCUGUUUCCACACUUAAUGAAUGUUCAUUGCAAAUGAACAGUGGACUUCAACAGUGGAAUUCAAGCAGGAGAAACUGCUUUUGAAUUGCAUUUUCAUAAAGUGGCGUGUAGAUUUAUUUGCAUAAUAUUUUUAUCAAUUUAAAAACACAGGGUAAUUAACAACAAUGUUUUCAGAAUUUCCCCCCAAAUAAAUCAUAUUAUCAUAUACAGUAAGUUAAUCACACAUAUAAUUAAUUAAUUUUCACUGUCACUGACAUUUUCCCCAUGAUUGAUUGUGUGUCAGUGUAAAUAUAUUGCAUUAAAUUGAUAUGCUGAGAAAUGCAGUGAGUGAGUGGCCUGUGCUUUUGGCACUAUCAGCCAAAAAUGAUGAUCAGAACAAUGACAGCCUGUUGAACAGAAAAAUGUGUUUGUGUCUUAAAGUAAAGUGCAAUUUCUCCUGUUGAUUACGUUUGCAUGGAGGGCCUUUUUAUAGGAAUAAUCUACUUUUGAAAAAUCUCAUUAAGUAAGCACUUCUCAGGCACUGAGCAAAACUCCUAUGGUGACACAAGACCAACACUAUAUGAAGGUGAGACUCUCCUUAGAUAUGUUAGGUACUGGUUUUUGAACUGGUCGCAUUUUUACAUAAUACAGGCCACAUGGUGUAACGACUAUGUAGCCCUUGUUUGUAACAACUCUGUAUAUGAUGUAUUAUAAAGGUAUUCUUAAUGUGAUAUGCAAUGCCUUCUUAAACCCCUUGUAAUCAAUUGUAUGUUCUUGUGAACAUCUGUGACCACAGCUCAGGAUGCAUUAUAAUAUUUUUAUCCAUGUAAACAAUAUGCCGAAUGUUGCCUCCCUUACAUAUACUGUGUCAAAGUUACAAGGUUUAUCGUCUUUAAGGCGAUUUAAGGUGUGAAACCAAUAUAAAUAUAAUUGUCAAGAAUUCUCUUUUUAAUGCUGCAAUUUAUACUCUGUGAGACUUAAGUUAAAAAGAAUCUCACUGCUAAAAUUACAUCUUUGUCCAUUGUGAAUAUUCAGUGUAGCUGUGUUCGAAGGCGAAUGCACCAAACUUGAACUCCAUACAAAAUCCGCGAGGGAAAAUUCUUUGUCACCGGAAGUCCAUUGCACGAUAUUCAUGUUCGCAUGGAUUCCAAUUGAGAUGAUUGUAUUUCACCUGCAGAAUUUCGCUGGGCAAAAGUAUGUGUGACUGCUUCUUUACAUGGUCAUGAUAGGAGUUGAAAGUUAGGAUAACUUUACACAGACAUAGUCAUAAUGACAGAAUUUUCAUUUUUGGGUGUACUAUUCCUUAAACACAAUGCGUUUAAAUCUUUUGGCUAUAUUUCAAAAUGACUUUUAUCAUCAUUUAUUCUGGUGCGGUGCCUUGCCUUGUAGACUUCCACUG